rnacentral:rRNA from 1 species
CCCUUAGAUGUUCUGGGCCGCACGCGCGCUACACUGACGAAGUCAGCGAGCAUGUCCUACGCCGACAGGUGCGGGGAAUCUUGUCAAACUUCGUCGUGAUGGGGAUUGAUUAUUGAAAUUCUUGAUCAUCAACGAGGAAUUCCUAGUAAGCGCAAGUCAGCAGCUUGCGUUGAUUACGUCCCUGCCCUUUGUAUACACCGCCCGUCGCUACUACCGAUUGAAUGGUUUAGUGAGAUCUUCGGAUUGGCGCCACUGCGGCUCAGCAAUGGGCUCGGUGGAUGCCGAAAAGUUGAUCAAACUUGAUCAUUUAGAGGAAGUAAAAGUCGUAACA